CAGGUUCUGCUUCUUUGGUGUAGUCCUGAAGCUUCCUAAGAAACUUCACAUCAGGUGAUGGAUAGGAGCAACCCUGUAAAACCAGCCUUAGACUAUUUUUCAAACAGGCUGGUGAAUUACCAGAUCUCCGUCAAGUGCAGUAACCAGUUCAAGUUGGAAGUGUGUCUUUUGAAUGCAGAAAACAAAGUCGUGGACAACCAGGCUGGGACCCAGGGCCAGCUGAAGGUGCUGGGUGCCAACCUCUGGUGGCCGUACCUGAUGCACGAACACCCCGCCUCCCUGUACUCGUGGGAGGAUGGUGAUUGCUCACACCAAAGCCUUGGACCCCUCCCAGCCUGUGACCUUUGUGACCAACUCCACCUACGCAGCAGACAAGGGGGCUCUGUAUGUGGAUGUGAUCCGUGUGAACAGCUACUACUCUUGGUAUCGCAACUACGGGCACCUGGAGUUGAUUCAGCUGCAGCUGGCCGCCCAGUUUGAGAAUUGGUGUAAGACAUCACAAUCCCAUUAUUCAGAGCGCGUAUGGAGUGGAAACGCUUGUAAGGCUUCACCAGGUAAGCGGUGUUGAACUUUCUGCUUGUGUAUUCUCUCUGGGCAGAGAUGCCACUUG
rnacentral:lncRNA from 1 species